CCCUUAGACGUUCUGGGCCGCACGCGCGCUACACUGACCGGUGCAACAAGCAUCCGUCCUUGGCCGACAGGCCCGGGCAAUCUUUGAACGCCGGUCGUGAUGGGGAUAGACUUUUGCAAUUUUUGGUCUUCAACGAGGAAUUCCUAGUAAACGCAAGUCAUCAACUUGCAUUGAUUACGUCCCUGCCCUUUGUACACACCGCCCGUCGCACCUACCGAUUGAAUGGUCCGGUGAAGCCUCCGGAUUGGCGCGCACCCCGGUGCCGCCGAGAAGUUGGCUAAACCUUACCAUUUAGAGGAAGGUGAAGUCGUAACA
rnacentral:rRNA from 1 species